rnacentral:rRNA from 1 species
UACCACCCUUUAAUGUUUGAUGUUCUAACGUUGACCCGUAAUCCGGGUUGCGGACAGUGUCUGGUGGGUAGUUUGACUGGGGCGGUCUCCUCCUAAAGAGUAACGGAGGAGCACGAAGGUUGGCUAAUCCUGGUCGGACAUCAGGAGGUUAGUGCAAUGGCAUAAGCCAGCUUGACUGCGAGCGUGACGGCGCGAGCAGGUGCGAAAGCAGGUCAUAGUGAUCCGGUGGUUCUGAAUGGAAGGGCCAUCGCUCAACGGAUAAAAGGUACUCCGGGGAUAACAGGCUGAUACCGCCCAAGAGUUCAUAUCGACGGCGGUGUUUGGCACCUCGAUGUCGGCUCAUCACAUCCUGGGGCUGAAGUAGGUCCCAAGGGUAUGGCUGUUCGCCAUUUAAAGUGGUACGCGAGCUGGGUUUAGAACGUCGUGAGACAGUUCGGUCCCUA